CCGGAGCUGUCCGGUGUAGAGCGCAACCUUGCCAAGGUUGAAGUCGUGAGUUCGAAUCUCAUCACCCGCUCCA
rnacentral:tRNA from 1 species